GCGGGGCAGGCGUGGGUGCACCCAGACCCCCCAACCCUGAUGUCCCCAAUACCAAGGGCAGAGAGCAGCCCUGGCCGGUCCUUGGAGGAUGCGGGCGCCGAGGGGGCCGGGGUCAGUCGGUUCAGAGUCGGAGCAUAAGCCCGGUGGCCGAGUCGGCCGGGUGGUGGGGCGCCGGGGGGGCCGGAGCCGGGCAGGGCAGUGACCCGCUUGCCGGGGUCAAAGUCGCCAGUGUGGGCCGCGGAAGAGGAGCGGCCAGGCGGGGCGCAGACACCCCUCACCCCAUCCUGGGCCGCGCCGGUGCCACCGGGCAGUCCUCGGGGCAGGAGCCCACCGAGGGGAGACAGCGCUGGAAGCCUCCCCUCCGGCAUCUCCAAUCCAUCUCUGGGUCCUGCUCCACCUGCAUUUCCCUAGACCUGUCCUGGCCACCCUCACCCUGGGACACCUCCUGCCCGUGGAGAGCUCCUCUGAUAGGUGCCGUCCUUGGUCUUGGGGGUCCUUUCUCCCUAAUUCUACUUCUGUUUUGGGGGCGUGGGAACCCAGGGUCUUAACCCCAGCCAUUCCCCCUCCCAGGGGCCACUUCCCUCUGAAGCUUAGCCCAGCUCUGUGACCCCCACAGGCCUGCCCCCACCUGGUCCUCACUCCCCUGCAUAGCCACACUGUGGGGGCUCCAUGCUUCCCAGCCCAUAGGAAGCCCUGUUCCCAGAGGGGGCCAUUCUGUUUUAGUUGGAGCAGUGGCCAGAGGCAAAGGUCAGAAGGCAAAGGUCAUAAAAGUUUGUCUCUACCUGCCAGCAUCUGCUCCUGCUACUGCAUCUUCUCCCCUCUCCACCCAAACCCUCCCUCAGCUCCUGCCCCCACCUCUCCAGAGGCACAGACAACAGGGUUCUGAUCUUGGGUCAUGGUGCUCCCCCUGCCAGCCUCAGUCCGAGACCUCUGUGAAUGGCGGUGAUGGCUAAUGGGAUGAGGGGGACCACCUCCUGGUGGCUGCAGGGACUGGGGUGAGGGUGCUGUAGGCUCUGCCUAAGUCAAGUGCCAUGGGGCUGAAGAGACGGCGCACCGGCCCUGGAGAAGAGUCCUCCCUGCCCUCCUGUGUCUGGCCUUGUUUCCUGGAGGACAGGUCCCCACGGGGCAGAGGCCCAGCAGUCCCAGGGUCCUCAGCUUCCACCACCCCCAGGCGACGUCUGCUCACCCUGGCUGCCCGCAGCAAGAUUCCUGUUAUCUGGGUAGAGUCCUCAGCCUCCGCCACCCCCAGGCGAUGUCUGCUCACCUUGCCUGCCUUAAGCAAGAUUCCUGUUACCUGGGUUCCUUAGCCUCUGCCACCUCCAGGCCGUGUCUGCUAACCCUGUCUGCCGUCAGCAAGCUUCAUUUUACCUGGGUAGGGUUCUCAGCCUCCGCCACCCCCAGGCGAUGUCUGCUAACCCUGCCUGCCCUCAGCAAGCUUCCUGUUUCC
rnacentral:lncRNA from 1 species